rnacentral:tRNA from 2 species
GGGCGGGUAGCUCAGUGGUAGAGCAUCUGACUUUUAAUCAGAGGGUCGCGGGUUCGAUACCCGCCCCGCCUACCA